rnacentral:rRNA from 1 species
CUACGGGGCGCUGCAGGCGAGAAAACUUUGCAAUGUGCGAAAGCACGACAAGGUUAAUCCGAGUGGUUUCUGCUAAAGGAACCUUUUGACAGUCCUAGAAACACUGUUGAAUAAGGGGUGGGCAAGUUCUGGUGUCAGCCGCCGCGGUAAAACCAGCGCCUCAAGUGGUCAGGAUGAUUAUUGGGCCUAAAGCAUCCGUAGCCGGCUCUGUAAGUUUUCGGUUAAAUCUGUACGCUCAACGUACAGGCUGCCGGGAAUACUGCAGAGCUAGGGAGUGGGAGAGGUAGACGGUACUCGGUAGGAAGGGGUAAAAUCCUUUGAUCUAUUGAUGACCACCUGUGGCGAAGGCGGUCUACCAGAACACGUCCGACGGUGAGGGAUGAAAGCUGGGGGAGCAAACCGGAUUAGAUACCCCCGUAGUC